UAGGCAAUAUUGGCUCUAGAGGAUCAAUACCCCCAAGUCUAUUUAGCACGUGCACAUGUGAGACCAGUGCCCAUUCGGUUAAGGACCCGUGGGUUCCUCUAGGAGUUGAUUCCCACGGAAAGUCACUGUCACGGUGCUGCUGUCUCCAUUUGCACGUCCCUGUACCAUGGCAUAGCCACCUUCUGUGGCCUGAAAAACGCCGAUGGCACAGCCACGGGGCCUGGAUGGUCCCAUGCAGCCUACUGAGGCCGCAUACUGAAGGCACGUCGAGGCACCUGUCUCCCUAAGUCAGCCUGUCAACCCCGGGUUGUUUUGUCUGCUGCGAGCUUGGUCAGAGCCCCCAGGGUCUGAAAGGCAAACCACUAGCAAAAGUGCCAGGACAGCUCCGGUUCCAGCCUCAUUCUGCCUGGACCCAAGUUCUGCUUCAUUACCCCUGAAACGUUUCCUUCACGGAAAGCUGGUGGCAGACAUGCUGGGGAGCUUUCUGAGCCCCUGGCUGUGUGGCUCUGUGACAGCAGCCUCCUCUUCUACAACAUCGGCUGGUACAAAAGCACACAGGGCUGGAAAUCAGCUGCCUUGCCCUCUACACUCCACACCAACUCUAAGACUUUGGCACGUCAAGCCUUGUUUCCAUUGAGGAUUUUAAUCUUGGCUGCACUUUUGAAGGUGGGGAGCUUUAAAACUAGAUACAUACGUCUGGGAUGCCAGCAGAUUUUCUGGUUUCCUACCACCAAGAUGGAAUGCCUACCUGAGAACAAGGGCGAAACGCAGGAAGGCCAUGCGGGCGGAUGGAGCUCCAGAAACACUGGUUGAAUGUCUGGACCCAGAUGCACCCGCGGCCAUCUCCCCGUGAACUUCUCAAGACCUGGGUACAUUCCUUCCUGCACUUAAGAAAGCAGAGUGAGGCUUCUGCCGCCUGUGUCUGAGGGACUCCUGACAAAGACAGCAGCCGGUCUGGAAAAACCCGUCUCAUGCUCUCACUUUUUGACACACUUUGCCAUUUUUGGAGAACAAGAUAGAUCAUGCUGAACAACUGAGAAAGGUGUGCUGUGCUCCUUCGGGUCCAUUACGGUCUGACCUUCUCUGCCAAGUAUCAUCCUGGACCUGGGAGCUCGUCAGAAAUGCAGAAUCUCAGGUCCCACCCCAUACCUGCUGCAUCCUAAUUUCCAUUUAACAGAAUCCCCAGGUGAAGUGCACGCACAUUAACGUCUGAGAAACGCUGCUCCAUAAAAUCCAUAUGGCCAAGUGACUUGCCCAGAGAAUGAUGAAUAUGUACCACAAAACCCUAUUAUCAUCAAUUCCAAGGGGCAAAGAACUCAUCCGUCUUUAAGUGGGGAAAAUAGCACAGGAUGUCAGUCCUGAAACUGGGUCGCCUUUGUGGGGAUUUGGGGAUUUGAAUUCUGCAAGGAGGGAUCAGGAAAGGCAGAUGUGCUGGAGCUUACCCUGUUCCAUCCACA